rnacentral:rRNA from 1 species
CAGUAGCCGCGGGAAUACGUAGGGUGCAAGCGUUAAUCGGAAUUACUGGGCGUAAAGCGUGCGCAGGCGGUCCGCUAAGACAGAUGUGAAAUCCCCGGGCUUAACCUGGGAACUGCGCUUGUGACUGCACAGCUAGAGUAUGGCAGAGGGGGGUGGAAUUCCACGUGUAGCAGUGAAAUGCGUAGAGAUGUGGAGGAACACCGAUGGCGAAGGCAGCCCCCUGGGCCAAUACUGACGCUCAUGCACGAAAGCGUGGGGAGCAAACAGGAUUAGAUACCCCAGUAGUCCCUGUCUCUUAUAC